ensembl:lncRNA LINC00601 long intergenic non-protein coding RNA 601
GACUGCAUCAAAUGACCAACGGUCUGAGUAUGAGGCACAUCAGGGGCAGAACCAGAGAAGAGAAAGUACGGUGAUGUGGCUGCCCAACAGGAGGUCAGCUCACCCAGACAGCUUCCUCCAGCUCUGAAACAGAUCGACUGAGCACCAGAUGAAGUUGGCAUGGAUGGGAGAUGUGAUGUACAAGAGAAAAGCAAAAAUUACUUGAGUUAUCUCCCCGAAGUCAAAAGUAAUGGGACACGCAGACCCUCCUGAAAUUCUGAGCAGAAAUUGCUGCUACAUUUGAAUCAGAUUCUAAGAGAUCAUCAACAUUAGAAGGUGCACAUCAUAAUUCAAAUCUCUGAAGAGGAAGAAGGAAGAUAUUGACUUCAGUCUUCAUUUAGUCCUGUUAUGGGACUUCCAGACACUGAAAAAACUCAUCCCUACAGCCGGCUGGAGGAUAUUGUCCUGGAAGGGGCAGCUUUCACACAUGGUUUGAAUUCAAUUAGCCAGCUCCUCUGAGAGCCACUAGAGUACCAUUUAGGACAUUGCUUCUUGAAUUCUCAUUUGCAGCCUUGCAAAUAAUUUUCAAAGGUCAUUAGACCAUAAGGAGUUUUCAUUACCCUUCAUUCAUGUCAACAGCAAACACUUACUGAUUGAGCGUCCACUUGGUGCCCUAUGCUAGGUGCUUCCAGGUGCAUCCAAAAAGGGAUGCAGCACAAAAAAUUAAAAUGACUAGAAGCAGCAACACAUGGAAGGUAAAAAUCUUUCUAAUAAGAGCAAUGGAAGAAACAUUUCUACAAAUGUUAAGUUGUAAGUCAAAUGUUUUUAAAAAGAAAGAAAUGACAAAUUUGAUUAGACAAAAAUGAGAAACUGCUUGCUGUGGUCUCAAUGUGUCCCCCCAGAUUCAUAUGUUAAACCUUAAUUGCCAAUGUGAGAGUAUUACGAGGUAGGGACUUUAGGAGGUGAUUAAGUCUCUGCCUUCAUGAAUGGGAUUAGUGUCCUUACAAAAGAGGUGCAAGGAAGCUGCCCAUCCAUUCCACCACAUAAGGAUGCAUCCAAAGGUGCCAUCUGUGAAGCAGAGAAUGCCCUCACUAGACAUCAAACUAGACGUCAAACCUAAAUUGGCCUUGAUCUUGGGCUUCCCACCCUCCAGAACUGUGAGCAAUAAAUUUCUAUUUUUUAUAAAUUA